rnacentral:rRNA from 1 species
GAUGAACGCUAGCUACAGGCUUAACACAUGCAAGUCGAGGGACCGGCGCACGGGUGAGUAACCUGUAUCCAACCUGCCCUUUACUCGAGGAUAGCCUUUCGAAAGAAAGAUUAAUACCCGAUAUAAAGGAUGGGGAUGCGUUCCAUUAGGUUGUUGGUGAGGUAACGGCUCACCAAGCCAUCGAUGGAUAGGGGUUCUGAGAGUAAGCACCCCCACAGUGUAACUGAGACACGGUCCAAACUCCGAGGGGAGAGAGGAGUAGGGAAUAUUGGUCAAGGGGCGCUAGCCUGAAACAGCCGAGUAGCGUGAAGGAUGAGGGCUUAUGGGUCGUAAACUUCUUGUGUAUAAGAAUAUGUAUUAUAUGAAUAAGGAUCGGCUAACUCCGUGCCAGCAGCCGCGGUAAUAC